rnacentral:rRNA from 1 species
GAUGAACGCUGGCGGCGUGCCUAACACAUGCAAGUCGAGCGAAGCGCUUAAAUUAGAUUUCUUCGGAAUGACGAUUUUUGUGACUGAGCGGCGGACGGGUGAGUAACGCGUGGGUAACCUGCCUCAUACAGGGGGAUAACAGUUAGAAAUGACUGCUAAUACCGCAUAAGACCCCAGCUUCGCAUGAAGCGGUGGUAAAAACUCCGGUGGUAUGAGAUGGACCCGCGUCUGAUUAGCUAGUUGGUAAGGUAACGGCUUACCAAGGCGACGAUCAGUAGCCGACCUGAGAGGGUGACCGGGCACAUUGGGACUGAUACACGGCCCAGACUCCUACGGGAGGCAGCAGUGGGGAAUAUUGCACAAUGGGGGAAACCCUGAUGCAGCGACGCCGCGUGAAGGAUGAAGUAUUUCGGUAUGUAAACUUCUAUCAGCAGGGAAGAAAGUGACGGUACCUGACUAAGAAGCCCCGGCUAACUACGUG